CUUCCUUCCCUUCUUUUCUCUUCUCCACUUUAGUGUGUGUGACACGUGUGGAUGACAAAGGAAAACUCAUGGGACUUGGUUAUUCUCCUCCUCCACAUUAGGACCCAGCGUUUGAACUCGGGUCACCAGGCUAAGCAGCAUGUGCCUUUAUACUUUGAUUCAUCUCUCUGCUGACCCCUUCCCCUGCCCCUUGCCAGCUAUUUUCUGAUUUGAGCAUGAACGUGCUCCAGAGAUGUGUGGACUCCUCUGGAGACAUUUUGGGACCUCUCUAUUUCACAGUUGAAGGGACAGUGAGCAUGUGGCCUUCCUAUGGCCUUGGAGCAGAGAGACAUGGGUUAUGUCACAUGGCUAAGGUGUGUUUAUGGUACCAGCUUGGACCUUUCACCUCUUUAAACCUGUACUGUAUCAGUACUGAGAUAAGACUUAAGAAAUCCUCGCCUGAUGAACAGUCCUUUGUUUUAUAGUAAAGGAAACAGAUUAUCAGAAGUGCAAGGCUUGGGUCUAUAUCAGCCCAACCCUGAGAUCUGAGCCUGGUCUACUCUGUUGUCCUCAGGCCCACUGAGUGGUGAUCAAGUAAGUGCACACUCAGGUCUUAAAGGAGCCUUGUUCUCAGUCCUCACUCCAACCUCCAGGAGAACCCUCUAGCCCUCUCUGCUUUUGCCUGGUUCGCCUGCAAUUGGAGCCUAGGCUCCAGGCCAAUAUUGUUGACUUGACAGAAUCUAUCAAAGGAGUCAUCUAGGAGACAAGGCUUUGGGCACACCACGAGGGAGUUUCUAGACUGAGUUAACUCACAUGAGAAGGCCCACCCUAAAUGGGAGCAAUACCAUUCCGUGGACUGGGGUCUCAGGCUGAUUAAAAAAGAGAAAGUGAGCUGAGCUCCAACAUCCAUUGCUGUCUGCUUCCUGACAAUGGAUGCAGAGUACCCGGCUUCCUCACACCUCUGCCACCUACCAUUCCUUCCUUCCCCCAUGGUGAAGGACUGCACCCACAAGCUGGGAGCCCAAAGAAGCCCUUCCUGCCUUACCUCAUUAAGGUAUUUUUUCACUGCAACAAGAAAAGCAACCGACAACCCACACCCCCUGCUCGUGGUUUCCUGGCAACAAAGAGCAGAAAGGGAUUUAUUAGAAUGGCUUAUAGGCUGUGGUCCAGCUAGCUCAACAAUGGCUACCAACAGAAGGUCCAAGAAUCCAGUUGGUUGUUCAGUCUACAAGGCUGGAUGUCUCAUCUGGUCUUCAGUGUAUACUGGAAUCCUGAGGAAAUGGGCUCUAUUGCCAGUGAAGGAAUGGACUUGCUAUUGAGAGCAAGCAGACAGAGAGCGGCUUCCUUCUUCUGUGUCCUUUAUAUAGGCUGCCAGCUGAAGGUGUGGCCCCGAUUAAUGGUGGAGUUUCCCACUUCAAAAGGUCUGGAUUAAAGGAAUGUCUUUCCACCUCAGAGAUUCUUAUUUGAUGUGGGUCUUCCCACUGACAAGGAUUUAAUUAAGAAAAAAAAAAAAGUCCCUCACAGGUGUGCCACUUGGGCUUUAGUUAAUUCCAGAUACUGUCAAGUUGACAACCAAGAAUAGCCAUCACAUCAACCUUCAACCCUAAAGUAUUCCCCACAAAACCAGACACUGGAAGCCAGCCUCCAGUGCGUCAGUGUGAAGAGCAGUGAGUUUGGAAGAGCAGAGCCCUCACACAUGGGAUUAGUGGCCUUAUAAAAGAUGCCAUGAAGAGCUUGUCUGACCCCCUCCUGCAAGGUCUCGGCUAGUAGAGGCCAUUGAUGAGGCAGAGUGAGUUCUCAGAAGCUGAGGAAUCCACAGGUAUCUUGACCUCAAACACCGCAGAUCUGUCACCUGUCCAUUCCCUUGGUUGAAGUCUUUUGAUAGAGUAGCUGGAAUAUAUUUAGAUACUUCUGAUCCAGCCAGAUACUUACCUUCCCAGCCAAACAUCUGGAAGCUAUUGCCUACCCUCCCUCUCUUCACUUGAUGAGCCUUCGCGGCUUCUGUUCUACUGUACCCACACAUGCUGAAGUCACCAGGGACCUCUCUGCUGAAUCUCACAAGCACAUUCAGAUUCCGACUUUCUGGGCCCAUCACUAGUAGUGUUUUGCUUAUUGAUUGGUUGGUGGUUAAGGGUCUUGGUAUGUAGCCAGGCUGACUUUGAACUCCAAACCCUCUUGAGUCAGCUUCCUCAGUAUUGGGACUACAACUGUGUGCCACCAUGGUUGUCUGUCUGUAUUAUGCAAUGUUGUUAGCACAGCUGUUCAUUGGCACUUACAACAUCCUCUCUGUGCAGUGUUUCUCACUGUUGUGUGUUUCCUUGUCUCAACCUCAAGUUGGCUUCCCCAAGGUUCUAGCCUUCCCAGUUUCUAUCUGCACUGCAGUGCUCUCUCCUGAGUUCAAGAUCCGGAGCCUCCCUGUGGAUAUCCCUCAGGCUUGUCAAAUGCAAUGUGUCCUAAGCUUAACUCACCAUAAUUUUCAUUUAUUUAUUUGUUUGUUUGUUUGUUUGUUUAUGUGUAUGAGUGCUCUAUCUGCAUGUAUGCCUGCAUGAGAGAAGAGGGCAUCAGACAGAAAAGGGCAUCUGAUUCCAUUAUAAAUACUUGUGAGUUACCGUGUGGUUGCAGGGACUUGAACUCAGGACCUCUGGAAGAGCAGCCAGUGCUGUUAAUCAUUAAGCCAGCCCUCAUCAUCUUUUUCUAAAACCUUCAUCUCACUUAGACUGCCUGCUGCCCACUACCAUGUACCUUGUCUCACUCAAUGUCCAUAUUGUCUGUCUUUCCAUCUAAGCCCAAACACAUCAUAUUGAAGUCUUCCAUUAUCAGCUCUUCCAGGGCCACCCUGUGCUGUUCCCUCUGCCGGGCCCUCCAGAGCACAGAUCACAGUGGCUAGGGUGCCAGGUUUGACACUAACCACUCCAUUCCACUGCCAGUUCAUGACCAAGCCAGCUUCUCUUGGGACAGCAUGAUUGAGGACCAGAGUUCUCUAAGACUUAAAAUGGCAGCAUUUACAGCUGGGCCUGGUUACUCCAGGGAGAAAGUUCACUGGCAGCUGGAGAAGGUGAAGUCAUGGAGGGCUCCCUGGCAGAAGCUGAACUUACUCAUACCAUAGCCAAGAGAGAGCAGGGGUGGACAAGAGAGAACAGGAAAGUGAGUGAAAGAAACUGUAGCCCCGGGGACCAAGUGACCCUCUAUGCUGUCACACUUGACCCUUCACCCAGGGGUCCUCCCAGGCUGAGGGCACAGGCACUUUACAGAAUGAAUUCUCUCACUGUUCCCCAUUGCAUCACUGUGUGACAUGGAUGCUACACAGAGAAUUACAAACGUGGGACUUCAGACCUACGGUGCCCUUAGGUAAUGAUACCAGCAUUGCUCCGUGGGUGGGGGAGCCCCAGAGGACACAACAUUGUACCCCAGUGUACCCCUUAAUCUUGUUGUUCUACUUCUCACAGGGCCCAGGAGUGGCAGCUAACAAGCCACCCGAGAAUGCCCCCAAAACAAACCAGAGCCUCAGGAAAAGCGAUCCCUAGUGGCCCAAAUCCCGGAGCCACUAGGGUUAGCGCUUAGGAGACUGAUGGUGUCUGGCUCCACCCUAAGCUGGCCAUUUGUGAUGAGUCAGCACUGGAUGGAAGAGUCAGCUACAGCAUCCUGGAUUGGGGCUGCCCUGGGACAAGCUACAGAGGUCCCAAGCAGGAAAGCUAGAAUUAAAAUUCUCUAGGGCUGAAGAGAUGUCUCAGAGUUUGUUACCCUGGCAGAGGACUCAGGCUUAGUUACACAGCAUCUAAAUGAUGGUGCGCAACCAUCCAUAAUUCCAGUUCCAGGGAAUCUAAUGGCUUCGUCUAGUCUGCCUGGGCCCAGGUAUUCACACGGUACACAUAUAUACAUGCAGGCAAAAGACGUACACAUAAACAAAAUAAUGUGUCCAGAGCUGAGUGUAUAUAUAGUCCAAGGAGGGAGCCAGCUCUGGGAGAACAUGACUGGGGAGGCAAAAAGUGAGGAAUCUGGACACAGGAGGAGGUGGCUCUUGCCUGCUCUGAUUUAUUUCAGGUGCCUGGCUCUUUUCUGAAGUUGCCCACCAAGUGUCUUAGCCCUUGGGGGCCUCCCCAUCCAUUUGGCAACAAGGGAUCUGGACCAGAGGCUCUCUACAGAGUUUAGUGGCCGCCAGUUCUACAGCAGAACUGCCACACCGCCCUGAAGUCAUUAAGACAGCACUGCCCAAUCUCUGCUGUGGGAAGUUAGAGGCCUGAGCACCACCGACAGACUGGCUUUAUAGGAGACUAUAGGAGUCCAGAACCCCCAAGGACGAAUCUUCCAGAAAACUUGGCACACGGUUCCAGUCGGUGGGAGUCACUUUUCAGAAUUGUUGCAACUUUUGGAGAAGGUACCAAUUUGUGUUUACUGGGAUGAGAAAAGAAAAAAGAAAAAUUUUUUUUAAAAAUGCAACAUCUCUGUCCACUGGUCUGCUGGGGAAGAACUCAGCUAAACUCACGUCAGGUAUUUUUAUCAACGAACUCAUCAAUCAAAAAUAUUGCCACAGGUUCACGGUGACCUAGGCUGCAGUCGCCAGGCAUUUACCCUCCAGAUGCGGAGCAGCUGCCAGGACUUUUCUUCAGGAAGAUGUGACUAGUCUCUCUCUUCUUUAAGUCACAUUUGAGAACAUUUUUUUUCUAACUAUUUAGAGCAUCUCUUUAUCACCCAGGCCAUCUGAACCUGUUUUAAAUUCUCUCAGAGUAAAACUGAAAUUUAUACCUGUCUCGGGUACCAGCCUAAGAAACUGAGAAAAAAAUAAAACCUUCGGCCUCAUUUCUCUCUGGGUAGACACCAGAGAGUGUCUAAGUUGUUCAGGCAGACUGGCUUGUUGGAGAAGGAGCCAGUGUCAUAGCGGGGAAAUCUGGUUACUGGACAAGAUCUGACAUUGAACCGACUCUGACUGGGAGGUGACACAUCUAUGCCAUCCUGUCACAGUCUGAUGUCUACAGUCAUGAGAGAGGGCACAGACACAACUCUGCAGCACUAUUUCUACUCUUACACUGGAAAGGCUUCAUCAGAAGAGAGAGGAAGCUGGAGGUGGUGCUGGAGAAUCCAUGGAACUCCUCAAACAUCACUGAAGAGGAAGGAGCAGUGUCCAUGCCAGCAUCACCUGGCCUGCACAGCUGCCAAAAGAACAAGACCAAUGUAAAGGCCAGGCUGGCAUCUUCCCACCCAGAUGGAGGGAGAGGAAAGUUAGAUCACAAGAGAAAUGGAAUCCAUUGCUGAGCAGAGGGGAAUGUGUCAGCCGCCCUUUAUAGCUCCUGAGUGGAGACCUUACUGAGGCUGGUCUACUUCCUCUGGGAGCAUAGGUAUGGUUAAGAAGACCUCAGAUACUGCCAGGUAGUGGCAGCUCAAACCUUUAAUUCCAGCACAUGGGAGGCAGAGGCAGGCAGAUCUCUGUGAAUUCAAGGCCAGCCUGGUCUACAGAGCAAGUUCCAAGGCCACACAGAAAAAUCCUGUCUUGAAAAAUUAGAGAGAGAAAGAGACCGAGAGGGAGACAGAGAGGCAGAGAGCUCAGAGUAAACUACAUCACACACACACACACACACACACACACACACACACACACACACACACACACCACAUACCAUCACACACAAAGAAAAUGUUGGGAUAACAAUGAUGGCUGACAAAACAAACAAACAAACAAAAAACCCCAAUGCAUAUUCUACUCAAAGCCUUCAAGCAUCUCUAGUUGCUUCCUAGUUCUACCUACUGACACCCAGCGCUGACACACUAUGGAAGGCUGUUAUGGGUUGACUGUGACCAAAGGGUCACUUCCGCAAUGCUUGGUCAUGGGCUAGUGGUGUUAUUUUAGGAGGAGGGGUCUAGAUGAAGAAAGUAGGUGACUAGGAGGGGACCUUAGAGAUUGUACAUGGCCCACUGUGUCUGCUGUGCUUCUGGUCCUCCAUGAAGAACUGAAGCCUUGUGCUCCGACCACCAUGUUGCCCUAUUUAAGUACCAAAGGUCCCAGCUAACACCCUGAGACUGCUGGCCCCAACAAACUCUCUGAGCUGUUCUUGAUCACAGCUAUGAAAGAGCUCACACACAGCAGAACUGUAACAGACAGAGGACUCGUAACUCACCCUACCUGCUGUCCUCCUGCCUCAGCUUCCCAAACACUGGGAUCACAGGCAAGUGCCACCAAGCCCUGACUACUUGUUCCUUAUCAACCUGUUCUCCCUGGUAAGUAAUGCUUGAUCUUGAUCAUAGAGCCCAGUUCAGCAUCCCACUGUACUGGCUGGACUUAUGUCAACUUGACACACAAACUAGAGCUAUCUGAGUGGAGGGAACCUCAGUUGAGAAGAUGCCUCCAUAAGAUCCAACUGUAAGUCAGUUUAACAUUAGUGAUUGAUAGGAGAGGGGCCAGCCCAUUGUGAGUGGCAUCAUCCCUGGGCUGAUGUUCCUAGGUCCUAUAAGAAAGUAGGCUGAGCAAGCAGCACCCCUCCAUGACCUCUGCAUCAGCUCCUGCCUCCAGAUUCCUGUCCUGUUUGUUUUCCUAUCCCAACUUCCUUUGUUGAUGAACAGCAAUAGGAAAUGUAAGCAGAAUAAACCCUUUCCUACCCAACUUGCUUUUUGGUCAUGAUGUUUUGUUGAAGCAAUGGAAACCCUAAGACACCUACAUAACUCUUUAACAUCAGCUUCUUGAAGCGAGACAUUCUCUGCUAAAGUUGUUCCCUAAAGACACUGGGCCAUGCUUGGGGUCCACUUCUUCUGGCACACCUGCAUAUAGAUUCAUCACACAGUUUCUUCUGCCUUUCUUCUGGUUGCCAUGGCCCAUGACUGAUUUGUGAUUCUCUGGUAUCCAUAUGACCCUACAAACCAACACUGCACUGGAAGCCAUGCCCAGAUCCUCAUCCUCUGCUUGUCCACCCUGGAAUUCUCACGGGUUCCCAGAUAGUAUGGUUAAUGUCACCUACAUCCACCACUGCUUCUGUGACCUCUUUGCCCUGGCCUGGGCCUCCUACGUAGGAACUUUCUAGACCUCAUGUGCUUUAUAUCACCACAAUGAUGUCCUUCCUCCCCUCAUCUCCUCCUGUGAUGCUCUAUGUCCGAACCCCAGCCUUGGUGAUUGCCUCAGUUCCAUAAUAGGUUCACCUGAUUGCUCUGGGUCUACAACAACAUAUAUGGUCACAUAAAGAAGAAAAAUUGUUCACUUUGUGGCUGAAAAGAAGAGAGGAGCUGUGGUGGUUUGAAUGAGAAUGGUGCCCACAGGUCAAAUUUUUGAAUAGCCGGGCGUGGUGGCGCAUGCCUUUAAUCUCAGCA
rnacentral:lncRNA from 1 species